rnacentral:rRNA from 1 species
ACUCCUACGGGAGGCAGCAGUGGGGAAUAUUGCACAAUGGGCGAAAGCCUGAUGCAGCAACGCCGCGUGAGCGAUGAAGGCCUUUGGGUCGUAAAGCUCUGUCCUAGGGGACGAAAAAAAUGACGGUACCCUUGGAGGAAGUCCCGGCUAACUACGUGCCAGCAGCCGCGGUAAUACGUAGGGGGCGAGCGUUAUCCGGAAUUAUUGGGCGUAAAGAGUACGUAGGUGGUCUUUUAAGCGCAGGGUUUAAGGCAAUGGCUUAACCAUUGUUCGCCCUGUGAACUGGGAGACUUGAGUGCAGGAGAGGAAAGCGGAAUUCCUAGUGUAGCGGUGAAAUGCGUAGAUAUUAGGAGGAACACCAGUGGCGAAGGCGACUUUCUGGACUGUAACUGACACUGAGGUACGAAAGCGUGGGGAGCAAACAGGAUUAGAUACCCUGGUAGUCCACGCCGUAAACGAUGAGCACUAGGUGUCGGGGUCGCAAGACUUCGGUGCCGCAGUUAACGCAUUAA